ensembl:lincRNA
UGUACCCCCAGCGUUAAGCAAUGCAUGACUGUACACAUAAAACCUAUACAACCAGGAAUCAAGUGGCCAAGGCUAGAAGCACAUGUGUCCAGCCAUGCGUAGAAGCAACACGGAGUUUCUACUGACACCGAACUUCACCUGAGUUUCGAGGCCCUGCAAAAGGAUGGUCAAGAAGCUCCACCUUCCACGUUCCAGAAAUGGUUCCCUGCGAAGAUCACCUUCCUCGCAGGCAAGGGUGGCAGAAAAUAAAACAGAAGAGGCGAAUGUUAGCUUCCUGCAAUCCCAUGUGUGUGGGAAAUGUGCGUCUAGCGGCAGGCUGUGAUUACUGCUUAAUGAAGGCUGAUAUAAACCUCACCCCAUGCCUGCUGGAAACAGAUUCAUUCACACGAUGCUCCAGCCUGGGACCAAGGCACGCAGUGCACAAGCAGCAAGGUUGGGAAAUGCUCCUGGAAGCAAAUGUCUAAAAACCUGGGCACGAAACGGAUGGGAUAUUCAGGUUUGUCACACGCAACUGGAUGGAAUUAAAAUAAGUGACGUGAAUUGACAUACUGAAAAAUUCAGCGUGAUGUGUAAUGAGGAAGAUGAUGUCAGUAGGAAAACACAGAGGCCUGAGCCAGUUGUAGGGAUGAACGAG